rnacentral:rRNA from 1 species
AUACGGAGGGUGCGAGCGUUAAUCGGAAUUACUGGGCGUAAAGCGAGCGUAGGCGGUUUGCUAAGUCAGAUGUGAAAGCCCCGGGCUUAACCUGGGAACUGCAUUUGAUACUGGCAGACUAGAGUAUGAUAGAGGGGGGUAGAAUUCCUGGUGUAGCGGUGAAAUGCGUAGAUAUCAGGAGGAAUACCAGUGGCGAAGGCGGCCCCCUGGAUCAAUACUGACGCUGAGGUACGAAAGCGUGGGGAGCGAACAGGAUUAGAAACCCUAGUAGUCC